rnacentral:rRNA from 1 species
CUUCGGGUUGUAAAGUCCUUUUCUGGGGGACGAUAAUGACGGUACCUCAGGAAUAAGUCCCGGCUAACUACGUGCCAGCAGCCGCGGUAAAACGUAGGGGGCGAGCGUUAUCCGGAUUUACUGGGCGUAAAGCGCGCGUAGGCGGUACUGUAAGUUGGAUGUGAAAGCUCCUGGCUUAACUGGGAGAGGUCGUUCAAUACUGCAGUGCUUGAGGUUGACAGAGGAGAGUGGAAUUCCCGGUGUAGUGGUGGAAUGCGUAGAUAUCGGGAGGAACACCAGUGGCGAAAGCGGCUCUCUGGGUCACACCUGACGCUGAGGUGCGAAAGCGUGGGUAGCGAACGGGAUUAGAUACCCCGGUAGUCCACGCCGU